GGAUAUGAGGACGGUCUAGCCAUAUCUGUCACCCCCUGAUUACCAAGAGAUGAUUCAGCUGAGCUGGCUGGCUAGGUGGGUGUCCUCUUCCUCCCUCACCAUGCCAUGUGUGUCACUCCUGAAGCUGCACUCAAUCUUAGAGAACAACUUACGCAAACAUGUCCUCUGCUAGAAUCCUGAAACAGUAUCUGCACAUG
rnacentral:snRNA from 1 species